CGGAGAGUUUGAUCCUGGCUCAGGAUGAACGCUGGCGGCGUGCCUAAUACAUGCAAGUCGAACGCUUUGUGGUUCAACUGAUUUGAAGAGCUUGCUCAGAUAUGACGAUGAACAUUGCAAAGAGUGGCGAACGGGUGAGUAACACGUGGGAAACCUACCUCUUAGCAGGGGAUAACAUUUGGAAACAGAUGCUAAUACCGUAUAACAAUAGCAACCGCAUGGUUGCUACUUAAAAGAUGGUUCUGCUAUCACUAAGAGAUGGUCCCGCGGUGCAUUAGUUAGUUGGUGAGGUAAUGGCUCACCAAGACGAUGAUGCAUAGCCGAGUUGAGAGACUGAUCGGCCACAAUGGGACUGAGACACGGCCCAUACUCCUACGGGAGGCAGCAGUAGGGAAUCUUCCACAAUGGGCGAAAGCCUGAUGGAGCAACGCCGCGUGUGUGAUGAAGGGUUUCGGCUCGUAAAACACUGUUGUAAGAGAAGAAUGACAUUGAGAGUAACUGUUCAAUGUGUGACGGUAUCUUACCAGAAAGGAACGGCUAAAUACGUGCCAGCAGCCGCGGUAAUACGUAUGUUCCAAGCGUUAUCCGGAUUUAUUGGGCGUAAAGCGAGCGCAGACGGUUAUUUAAGUCUGAAGUGAAAGCCCUCAGCUCAACUGAGGAAUUGCUUUGGAAACUGGAUGACUUGAGUGCAGUAGAGGAAAGUGGAACUCCAUGUGUAGCGGUGAAAUGCGUAGAUAUAUGGAAGAACACCAGUGGCGAAGGCGGCUUUCUGGACUGUAACUGACGUUGAGGCUCGAAAGUGUGGGUAGCAAACAGGAUUAGAUACCCUGGUAGUCCACACCGUAAACGAUGAGUGC
rnacentral:rRNA from 1 species